rnacentral:rRNA from 1 species
GAGUAGCGUGGACAUGUAGGCAAAUCCGCAUGUUUAAAUGUGAGACCUGAUGGGGAAGUGUCCAAGGGACAUAAGUCACAGAUCCUGCACUGCCGAGAAAAACUUCUAUCGAUGAGAAAUAGUGCCCGUACUGUAAACCGACACAGGUGGACAGAGUGAGAAACUUAAGGCCGACAGGAUAACUCUAGCUAAGGAACUCUGCAAAAUAGCCCCGUAACUUCGGGAGAAGGGGUGCCUGAUAUACCUGAGAGGAGAGACACCUUAAGGGGAAACAGGCCGCAGUGAAGAGUCCCAAGCAACUGUUUACCAAAAACACAGGUCUAUGCUAAGCUGAAAGGCGACGUAUAUGGGCUGACACCUGCCCAGUGCCGGAAGGUUAAGGGGAGGACUGAGAGGUCCGAGCUGAAGCCCCGGUGAACGGCGGCCGUAACUAUAACGGUCCUAAGGUAGCGAAAUUCCUUGUCGGGUAAGUUCCGACCUGCACGAAUGGUGAAAUGAUUUGGGAGCUGUCUUGGCUGGAGACCUGGUGAAGUUGUAAUGCCGGUGAAGAUACCGGCUACCUGCAGUAGGACGGAAAGACCCCGUGGAGCUUUACUGUAGCUUGGCAUUGGGUUUUGGCAAUGUGUGUAUAGGAUAGUUGGGAGACUGUGAAGCAACGGCGUCAGCUGUUGCAGAGUCGCUGUUGGAAUACCAACCAUAUGCUGCUGAAAUUCUAAUCUGGAAACGGAGACAGUGCUAGGUGGGCAGUUUGACUGGGGCGGUCGCCUCCAAAAGAGUAACGGAGGCGUUCAAAGGUUCCCUCAGGCUGGAUGGAAAUCAGCCUAGGAGUGCAAACGCAUAAGGGAGCUUGACUGCAAGACUGACGGGUCGAGCAGGUACGAAAGUAGGAGUUAGUGAUCCGGCGGUUCCGUAUGGAAGGACCGUCGCUCAACGGAUAAAAGCUACCCCGGGGAUAACAGGCUGAUACUUCCCAAGAGUCCAUAUCGACGGAAGUGUUUGGCACCUCGAUGUCGGCUCGUCUCAUCCUGGGGCUGGAGAAGGUCCCAAGGGUUGGGCUGUUCGCCCAUUAAAGAGGCACGCGAGCUGGGUUCAGAACGUCGUGAGACAGUUCGGUCCCUAUCCACUGCAGGCGUCAGAAUAUUGAAGGGCUCUGUCCUUAGUACGAGAGGACCGGGAUGGACGGACCACUGAUGUACCGGUUGUCACGCCAGUGGCAUAGCCGGGUAGUCACGUCCGGAAGGGAUAACCGCUGAAAGCAUCUAAGCGGGAAGCCUGCCCUGAGAUGAAUGUUCUUUCAAGCAUCCGCCGAGAACAGGCGGUGAUAGGCCGGAGGUGCAAGCAUGGUAACAUGUUCAGCUGACCGGUACUAAUAAAUGCGUAAGCUUACUUU